GGAGAGGUGACCGAGCGGCUCAAGGAGCUCGCUUGGAAAGCGAGUACAGCCCACAAGGCUGUCGGGGGUUCGAAUCCCCCCCUCUCCGCCA
rnacentral:tRNA from 2 species